GACGUAGGGCGCGAGCGUUGUCCGGAUUUAUUGGGCGUAAAGGGCGCGUAGGCGGCUUGGCAAGUGGAUGGUGAAAUCCCUCGGCUUAACCGAGGAACUGCCGUCCAAACUGCUUUGCUUGAGACCGGGAGAGGUGAGUGGAAUUCCCAGUGUAGCGGUGAAAUGCGUAGAUAUUGGGAGGAACACCAGUGGCGAAGGCGGCUCACUGGACCGGUACUGACGCUGAGGCGCGAAAGCGUGGGGAGCAAACGGG
rnacentral:rRNA from 1 species